AUCAACUUUCGAUUGGUAGGAUAGAGGCCUACCAUGGUGGUGACGGGUGACGGAGAAUUAGGGUUCGACACCGGAGAGGGAGCCUGAGAAACGGCUACCACAUCCAAGGAUGGCAGCAGGCGCGCAAAUUACCCAAUCCCGACACGGGGAGGUAGUGACAAUAAAUAACAAUACGGGGUUCUUUCGGAUUUCGUAAUUGGAAUGAGUACAAUUUAAAUCUCUUAACGAGGAACAAUUGGAGGGCAAGUCUGGUGCCAGCAGCCGCGGUAAUUCCAGCUCCAAUAGCGUAUAUUAAAGUUGCUGCAGUUAAAAAGCUCGUAGUUGAAUUUCGGGACCAAUAUGUCGGUCGUGCCUCGGUACGUACUGGCAUCGUUGGUUUCUCCCUUCUGAAGAACCAUGAUGUCGUUUAUUUGGUGUCGUGGGGAAUCAGGACUGUUACUUUGAAAAAAUUAGAGUGUUUAAAGCAGGCUCACGCUUGAAUACAUUAGCAUGGAAUAAUGAAGUAGGACGUUUGAUUCUAUUUUGUUGGUUUCUAGGAUCGACGUAAUGAUUAAUAGGGAUAGUUGGGGGCAUUAGUAUUCAAUUGUCAGAGGUGAAAUUCUUGGAUUUAUUGAAGACUAACUACUGCGAAAGCAUUUGCCAAGGAUGUUUUCAUUAAUCAAGAACGAAAGUUAGGGGAUCGAAGACGAUCAGAUACCGUCGUAGUCUUAACCAUAAACUAUGCCGACUAGGGAUCGGAUGAUGUUAAUUUUUUAAUGACUCAUUCGGCGCCUUACGGGAAACCAAAGUGUUUGGGUUC
rnacentral:rRNA from 1 species